AGCCGGGCUGGCCGGGCUGGUCCUGCGGCGGCGGUGGAGUCUCCGUAGCUCACGCUGCCGGUGGUGGCUCCCGCGGCUCCCGGCGGCGCCGUUCCCUGCCCGCGCGACUCUGCGACGCACUGCUCCGGCGGCUCCCGCCGCGGCGAAGCUCCGGGGCCGCGCGGUUUCCCGCGGUGGCGCGGCUCAUGUCCCCGGGCGCGGGGCGCGCAGGUGGGCCGGCCGCCGCUGGGAGAUAGGCCCCCGGGGGCGGCCGCGGUGGACUAUGGCACGGAGACCCGGGGCGCCGGCCCCCUACGGGGAGGAGUUCUCCUUCGUCAGCCCGCUGGUGAAAUACCUGCUCUUCUUCUUCAACAUGCUUUUCUGGGUGAUUUCCAUGGUGAUGGUAGGUGUGGGUGUCUAUGCCAGGCUGAUGAAACACGCAGAAGCAGCCUUGGCUUACCUGGAGGUAGACCCUGCCAUCCUGCUGAUUGUGGUGGGUGUCCUCAUGUUCCUGCUCACCUUCUGUGGCUGUAUUGGAUCCCUCCGUGAAAAUAUCUGCCUCCUGCAGACGUUCUCCUUCUGCCUCACCAUUGUGUUCCUGCUACAGCUGGCUGCUGGGGUGCUGGGCUUCGUCUUCUCAGACAAGGCUCGGGGGAAAGUGAAUGAGAUCAUCAACAAUGCCAUUGUGCACUACCGAGAUGACUUGGAUCUGCAGAACCUCAUUGAUUUUGGCCAGAAGAAGUUCAGCUGCUGUGGAGGGAUUUCCUACAAGGAUUGGUCCCAGAAUAUGUAUUUCAACUGCUCAGAUGACAACCCUAGCCGUGAGCGAUGCUCUGUGCCUUACUCCUGUUGUUUGCCUACCCCCAACCAGGCGGUGAUCAACACUAUGUGUGGCCAAGGUAUGCAGGAUUUUGACUACUUGGAAGCUAGUAAAGUCAUCUACACCAAUGGCUGUAUUGACAAGUUGGUCAACUGGAUACACAGCAACCUAUUCUUACUUGGUGGUGUGGCACUGGGCCUAGCCAUUCCUCAGCUGGUGGGAAUUCUGCUGUCCCAGAUCCUCGUGAAUCAGAUCAAAGACCAAAUCAAGCUACAGCUCUACAAUCAGCAGCAUCGGGCAGACCCGUGGUACUGAGAAUCCAUCCUGCACCUCCUCACCAUAGCGACAGGCAAUCCAAUGGAGAUUUGGAUUCCAGCCCCCCACCAUUGGUGACCCAGCAGGAGGAAGCAAACUCCAGAUGGGCAGAAGGCAGGGCACAAAGGUGGCUCAGGUCUCAGAAGGAUGUAUCUCCUCUCCUCUUUCCUAGUCCUCAUAUCAUUAUUUUGUAUUGUUUCUAACCUUAAACAUUUGGGUUUAAGUUUUGGGAAACAGAAGUUGCACAGAGAGUUGUGGGGGGUACUAGCUGCUGCCUUUUCACUGAGGUACUACAACUGACAGCUUUGUUAGGGCUGCUGCUGAGCUUGGUGGACAUACUUAGAUGCUGCUGCCAGAGAGACCUGGCUGCAGAGAGCAGACACCAGCAGCCCUGCCUGGAGUCCAGUUGGCAUGAUACCAGCUCCAGAAGGGAAAGGAGUGGAGCAGGCAGUGGGGAGAGAGCUUGGGGGUCGGUUGGGGACAGCUGUGUGUGUUUGGUAGGAGUGGAGAGGGGAUAUGUUUACCAAAUGCCUGCCCUGCCAUCCUCCCAGGUAGUCAGAAUGAGCUACAUCCUGCCCUCCCUCAUUUCCGUGGAAACAUGGCAGCAAGGUUACCACCCAAAACUUAGGCUGCGGUAGAGAACCUCUCCGCUGGACCAAGGAGGGAGAUGAGAGGAAGAAGCCCAUCCUUCUGCCUGGUCGAGGCCCGCAGGCCGGCUUCUCCAUCUUCAUCUGAAGUUGCUUGGGAACCGCAGCCCACCCUGGCGUAGGAAGGACUGAGAACACUUUGAACUGUGCAGGGCUUUCUCCGGCUGGGAGCAGCGUGCGGGGCGGGGCGGCGCCUCCGGGGGCGGGGCACGCGGCUCCGUGGGUGGUCCCCGCCCAGCGGCGGCCGGGCACGCGGGAGGGGGUUGGGGCUGUGGGGGCGGGCUAGGCGGAGAGUGUCCCCCAGUGUCCCCCGAAGUCCCCUCGCCGACCCCUGCUGUUGGGGUCCAGACUAAGGACUUGGCCUGACCGGGAAAGCCUGGAAAGGCUCCUGCGGUGCUGGCAGAGGAGUCGCGAGCUCGCCCCCGCCCUGCGAGCCUUCUGCUCCUGGAGGGCGCCUUUCCAGCAGCCGCCUGGGGCCGGGCCAAUGUUUAGCUCCUAGCUAGUAACAGAACGGAAAGAAAAAAUAAAGUCAUCACGAAUAUAAAA